UACGGAGGGUGCAAGCGUUAUCCGGAUUCACUGGGUGUAAAGGGUGCGUAGGUGGGUUGGUAAGUCAGUGGUGAAAUCUCCGUGCUUAACAUGGAAACUGCCAUUGAUACUACUGAUCUUGAAUUUUCUGGAGGUAAGCGGAAUAUGUCAUGUAGCGGUGAAAUGCUUAGAUAUGACAUAGAACACCAAUUGCGAAGGCAGCUUACUACAGGGACAUUGACACUGAGGCACGAAAGCGUGGGGAUCAAACAGG
rnacentral:rRNA from 1 species